rnacentral:misc_RNA from 1 species
GAUGAAGAACGUAGCGAAAUGCGAUAAGUAGUGUGAAUUGCAGAAUUCAGUGAAUCAUCGAAUCUUUGAACGCACAUUGCGCCCCUUGGUAUUCCAUGGGGCAUGCCUGUUCGAGCGUCAUUUGUACCUUCAAGCUUUGCUUGGUGUUGGGUGUUUGUCUCGCCUUUGCGUGUAGACUCGCCUUAAAAUAAUUGCCAGCCGGCGUAUUGAUUUCGGAGCGCAGUACAUCUCGCGCUUUGCACUCAUAACGACAGCGUCCAAAAGUACAUUUUACACUCUUGACCUCGGAUCAGGUAGGGAUACCCGCUGAACUUAAGCAUAUCAAUAAGCGGAGGA